AUUCAGUUGACGAGUCCAAAAUAGAACGAAACACGCGUCCUGGAU
rnacentral:hammerhead_ribozyme from 1 species